rnacentral:tRNA from 1 species
UUCUCAGUAGUAUAGUGGUUAGUAUUCCCGCUUGUCACGCGGGCGACCUGGGUUCAAUUCCCAGCUGGGAAG